rnacentral:tmRNA from 1 species
GGGGGCGAAACGGCUUCGACGGGGAUAAAGAAGCCCAGAUUGCAUGCCGAGCUCCUGCCGACUCGUAAAACCGGUGGGGAUUAAAUAUAAUCGCUGAUGAUUAUCUACAGCAACGGCGAACUUUAGCAGGAUAGCCUUUGCAGUACCCUGCCUGAUGGAGACUGACGAAGGCGAAACUUAGAGAUCAGGAUAAGCAUGUAGAUGUCUGUGUGGAAUAUUUUCGGACGCGGGUUCGACUCCCGCCGCCUCCACCA